UACGAAGGGGGCUAGCGUUGUUCGGAUUUACUGGGCGUAAAGCGCACGUAGGCGGAUUGUUAAGUCAGGGGGUGAAAUCCCGGAGCUCAACUCCGGAACUGCCUUUGAUACUGGCAAUCUUGAGGCUGGAAGAGGUUAGUGGAAUUCCCAGUGUAGAGGUGAAAUUCGUAGAUAUUGGGAAGAACACCAGUGGCGAAGGCGGCUAACUGGUCCAGAUCUGACGCUGAGGUGCGAAAGCGUGGGGAGCAAACAGGGAUUAAGAAACCC
rnacentral:rRNA from 1 species